CAAUAGCGUAUAUUAAAGUUGUUGCAGUUAAAAAGCUCGUAGUUGGAUUUGUGGUGUAUGGUGUGUUCCGGGCACUUGUUGUCUGAGUAACUUGCCAUUGCCACCCUUGGGUGGAACCUGUGUGGCAUUAGGUUGUCGUGCAGGGGAUGCCCAUCGUUUACUGUGAAAAAAUUAGAGUGUUCAAAGCAGGCUUAUGCCGUUGAAUAUAUUAGCAUGGAAUAAUAAGAUAGGACUUUUUUGCUAUUUUGUUGGUUUGCGCGAGAAGGUAAUGAUUAAUAGGGAUAGUUGGGGGUAUUCGUAUUCCAUUGUCAGAGGUGAAAUUCUUGGAUUUUUGGAAGACGAACUACUGCGAAAGCAUUUACCAAGGAUGUUUUCAUUAA
rnacentral:rRNA from 1 species